GAUGAACGCUGGCGGCGUGCCUAAUACAUGCAAGUCGAGCGAACGGACGAGAAGCUUGCUUCUCUGAUGUUAGCGGCGGACGGGUGAGUAACACGUGGAUAACCUACCUAUAAGACUGGGAUAACUUCGGGAAACCGGAGCUAAUACCGGAUAAUAUUUUGAACCGCAUGGUUCAAAAGUGAAAGACGGUCUUGCUGUCACUUAUAGAUGGAUCCGCGCUGCAUUAGCUAGUUGGUAAGUUAACGGCUUACCAAGGCAACGAUGCAUAGCCGACCUGAGAGGGUGAUCGGCCACACUGGAACUGAGACACGGUCCAGACUCCUACGGGAGGCAGCAGUAGGGAAUCUGCCGCAAUGGGCGAAAGCCUGACGGAGCAACGCCGCGUGAGUGAUGAAGGUCUUCGGAUCGUAAAACUCUGUUAUUAGGGAAGAACAUAUGUGUAAGUAACUGUGCACAUCUUGACGGUACCUAAUCAGAAAGCCACGGCUAACUACGUG
rnacentral:rRNA from 1 species